rnacentral:misc_RNA from 1 species
AAGUCGUAACAAGGUUUCCGUAGGUGAACCUGCGGAAGGAUCAUUAAAAACUUUUAUCCGGGAAUUCGUUUCGUCUUCCCGGAUUAUUUGUAUUCAAAUCCCACUCUUUAUAAAUAUAUCAAUUAUAUAAAAUAAAAAAAAAGAAAACUUUCAACAACGGAUCUCUUGGCUCUC